UCAAAGAUGGCCUCUAUUUAUAAGCUAUCGGUUGAAGAUGGACUCGCGUCCCAUUAGCUAGUUGGCGGUGUAACGGACCACCAAGGCGACGAUGGGUAGCUGGUCUGAGAGGAUGGUCAGCCACACUGGGACUGAGAUACGGCCCAGACUCCUACGGGAGGCAGCAGUCGAGAGGCUUCGGCAAUGGGGGAAACCCUGACCGAGCGACGCCGCGUGAGGGAUGAAGGCCCUUGGGUUGUAAACCUCUUUUGUUCGGGAAGAAGUGCGAUCAGGUGAAUAAUCUGGUCGUUUGACGGUACCGGACGAAUAAGCUCCGGCUAACUCCGUGCCAGCAGCCGCGGUAACACGGGGGGAGCAAGCGUUGUUCGGAAUCACUGGGCGUAAAGGGCGUGUAGGCGGUCAGGUAAGUGGGACGUGAAAUGCCUCGGCUCACCCGAGGAGCUGCGUCCCAAACUGCUUGGCUUGAGUAUGGGAGAGGAUGUGGGAAUUCCUGGUGUAGCGGUGAAAUGCGUAGAUAUCAGGAGGAACACCGGUGGCGAAGGCGCACAUCUGGCCCAAUACUGACGCUGAUGCGCGAAAGCUAGGGGAGCAAACGGGAUUAGAUACCCCGGUAGUCCUAGCCGUAAACGGUGAUCACUAGGUGUUGGAGGCAUCGACCCCUCCAGUGCCGCAGCUAACGCAUUAA
rnacentral:rRNA from 1 species